rnacentral:rRNA from 1 species
CAGUAGCCGCGGGAAUACAGAGGGUGCAAGCGUUAAUCGGAAUUACUGGGCGUAAAGCGCGCGUAGGUGGUUUGUUAAGUUGGAUGUGAAAUCCCCGGGCUCAACCUGGGAACUGCAUCCAAAACUGGCAAGCUAGAGUAUGGUAGAGGGUGGUGGAAUUUCCUGUGUAGCGGUGAAAUGCGUAGAUAUAGGAAGGAACACCAGUGGCGAAGGCGACCACCUGGACUGAUACUGACACUGAGGUGCGAAAGCGUGGGGAGCAAACAGGAUUAGAUGCCCCUGUAGUCCCUGUCUCUUAUAA